rnacentral:tRNA from 1 species
GCGCUUGUAGCUCAGCAGGAUAGAGCAACUGCCUUCUAAGCAGUAGGCCAGGGGUUCGAAUCCCUUCAAGCGCGCCA